CCGCCAUUACCGAGGAAGAAGUAAGUAUUCCGGCCAACAAGAAAUUUUCGUCACUUGGGUGUCCGCUAUUCAUCUAUAUCGGUCGAAAGAUCCGACAAUCGAACAAGGUUUGAAAGCCUACCCCCCUUUUUUUUAUACUCCAUGUUUUGAUGAACAAGAAAUUUCUGUCACUUACAGCUGCCACUAUAUUAUUUUUUUUUUGUACAACUUUUGUAAAUCUGGAGACGUGGAGGAAGAUUUGUUCAUCUACAACCUUCUUUUUUUCGAUGGAUUGUUUAUAUGAACAUUGUUUACUUUUUGCAAUUUGUUUAUAUGAACAUUGUUGAUUGUAGGGAGUUUUGUUUCGGUGAAUGUAUGUAUUUUUUUGCAAAUCUAUGAUUUUUUUCAUUUUCGGUGGGUUUUUUUAUUUCUGGUCGGGAAUUUUUUGGUGAACAUGUGUUAGGUCCAGAGGGUCUCGAAUAGAUGUAUGGGGGGAAUACACCUAUGGCCUAUUUUUCAAAUUCCUCAAUCAGAGGGAUCUCAGUCAGAUAUCAAAACGAAACUUUGCAUGCAAACAAAGACGCUUGUUUUACAGAAAUCAGUUUUGACCAAACAGGGUUGACGACUGAUACUA
rnacentral:lncRNA from 1 species